rnacentral:rRNA from 1 species
GACGAACGCUGGCGGCGUGCUUAACACAUGCAAGUCGAACGGUAAGGCCCUUUCGGGGGUACACGAGUGGCGAACGGGUGAGUAACACGUGAGGAACCUGCCCUUGACUCUGGGAUAACAGUGGGAAACUUCUGCUAAUACCGGCUAUUCAGAUUCUGCCGCAUGGUGGGGUUUGGAAAGCUUCUGUGGUCAAGGAUGGUCUCGCGGCCUAUCAGCUUGUUGGUGAGGUAAUGGCUCACCAAGGCGUCGACGGGUAGCCGGCCUGAGAGGGCGACCGGCCACAUUGGGACUGAGAUACGGCCCAGACUCCUACGGGAGGCAGCAGUGGGGAAUAUUGCACAAUGGGCGGAAGCCUGAUGCAGCAACGCCGCGUGCGGGAUGACGGCCUUCGGGUUGUAAACCGCUUUCAGUAGGGACGAAGCGCAAGUGACGGUACCUACAGAAGAAGCACCGGCUAACUACGUGCCAGCCGCCGCAGUAAGAC